UACGGGGGGGGCAAGCGUUGUUCGGAAUCACUGGGCUUAAAGGGCGCGUAGGCGGGUCGAAAAGUCCGCGGUGAAAUCCCCCCGCUCAACGGGGGAACGGCCGCGGAUACUGUCGGCCUCGAGGGGGGUAGGGGCGAGCGGAACGCUGGGUGGAGCGGUGAAAUGCGUUGAUAUCCAGCGGAACUCCGGUGGCGAAGGCGGCUCGCUGGACCUUCACUGACGCUGAGGCGCGAAAGCCAGGGGAGCAAACGGG
rnacentral:rRNA from 1 species